UAGAUUUUAAACCCAGGCUGUUGGGAGGCAUAACUCGCAGCUCUCCUGGAAGUGAAUCACGAGCUUUCCUGGGUGGAGGUAGCUGGAAGAGGCACCGAACCCCACCGAUAAGACCACAGGGCAGGGCAGGGGCACCAGAAAAGACCCUCCCCGCUCUCUUGGAUGUAAGGCCGGGCCAGGUUUUGGUUGAAGGUCACAUUGCUCCUGGGUCAGAGAACUAUAACAUCAAAGCGCCUUUAUGGAAACAAGACAGACGCCAAGGACCAUCUGCCAAUUGUCAGCUGACUAUCCAGCGAUAUAACCACCACCACUGGCAGACCAGGACAAGGUCCAGGAAUUUUCCAGUGCCCAUGAAUCUACCAACACCUGGGUCUGUAACAGCUACUAUCAUGCUACGGGCCUCACUAGAUUAGCUUCAGAAACACCUGCAAGAAUGCAGGGCCCGGUAGGCAGAAUUUUUAGAUGACCCCCAGCUCCCAGUGACUCUUGCCUUUGUAUAAUCCCCUCUCCUCUGAGAACCUCUGAAUAUGAUGAAAUAUCACUCCCAUAAUCAUGUUACAUUAUAUGGCAAAAGUGAGAUCAUCGUGGGUGGGCUUGACCUUAUUAUGUGAGCCCUGUAAAAGCCGAGAGUUUUCUCUGGCUACUGGCAGAAGAGGAAGGCAGAGUGACAUGCUCCAGGAGGCCUAGAAGAAAGCAAGCAACCCUGUGGGCUGCCUAUGGGGGCCACAUGACAAGGAACUACGAGUGGCUUCUGGAAGCUGAAAGCAGUCCCCAGCCAAUAGCUUUCCAGAAAAUGGAGCCCCAGCCCUACAACUCCAAGGAACUGAAUUCUGCCAACAACCAGUGAGCUUGGAAGAGGGUCCCAAGCCUCAGAUGAGAACCACAGCCCCAACAAACACCUUGAUGUCGGCCCAAUGAGACCUUGAGCAGAAAAUCCAGUGACAUCAUGCCAGGACUUCAGAUCUACAUAACUGCACACAGCCAUGUGAAGACACAGCAAGAAGGCAGCUGUCUACAAGCCAGGGAGAGAGGCCUCACCCUAAACCACCCCUGCCAGCAUUUUCAUCUUGGACUUCAAGCCUCCAGAACUGUGAGAGAAU
rnacentral:lncRNA from 10 species